rnacentral:tRNA from 2 species
CCGUAGGACAGCCAUCCCCUGCCCUCCGAAGGCAGGGGUCACAGGUUCGAAUCCUGUCGG